UCUUGUUAUCCGAAAUUUUAAAUCACAAUCCCAGAUUUACUAUAUUUCUCUACAAAAAUGACUUUCCUAAAAUAGCUGGUUUUAGAUAAUAUAUCUUCAAGAUAUAACAUAUUGAUCAAAAAUUCUAAAAGCAUACCCAUCUAUCAACAAAAACUCUUGUUAUCCUAAUUUCUUAAUCACAGUCUAAUAUCUACAAUAUUUAUCUACAAAAUGAUAACUUUCCAAAUAUAGCAGUUUUUAAAAUUUUAUUUUAAAAAUAUAGCCUAUUGAUCAAAAAUUCUAAAAUCAUACCCUUCUAUCAACAUAAACUAUUGUUAUCAUUUCUAAAUCACUAUCCCAAAUCUAAAAUAUUUAUCAACAAAUUGAUAACUUUCCAAAUAUAGCAGUUUAUAAAAUUUUGCUUUAAAAAUAUAACCUAUUGAUCAAAAAUUCUAAAACCAUGCCCAUUUAUCAGGAAAAAAUCUUGUUAUCCUAAUUUCUAAAUCAUAAUCCCAAAUCUACAAUAUUUUCCUAAAAAAUGAAAACUUUCUAAAAAUAGCAGGUUUUGGAAAUUUUUUUAAAAAUUAUAACCAAUUGAUCAAAAAUUCUAAAAGCAUACCCAUUUAUCAACAAAAAUGAUAACUUUCUAAAAACUCUUCAUAUGUUAAUUUUUAAAUCUCAAAUCUACAAUAUUUAUCAACAAAAUUAUAACUUUCUAAAAUUACCAGGUUCUGGAAAAUUUAUUUAAAAAUUCUAACCUAUUGAUAAAAAAUUCUAAAAGCAUGUCCAUCUCUAUACAAAAACUCUUGUUAUCCUAAUUUCUAAAUCACAAUCACAAAUCCACAAUAUUCUCCUAAAAAAUGAAAACUUUAUAAAAAUAGCAGGUUUUGGAAAAUUUAUUUAUAAAUUAUAACCAAUUGAUCAAAAAUUCUAAAACAUACCCAUCUAUCAACAAAAACUCUUGUUAUCCUAAUUUCUAAAUCACAAUCUCAAAUCAACAAUAUUUAUCUACAAAAUGAUAACUUUCCAAAUAUAUCAGUUUUUAAAAGUUUAUUUUAAAAAUAUAACCUAUUGAUCAAAACUUCUAAAAGCAUGCCCAUAUAUAAACAAAAACUCUUGUUAUUCUAAUUUCUAAAUCUCAAUCCCAAAUCUACAAUAUUUUCCUACAAAAUUAAAAAUUUCUAAAAAAUAGCAGGUUUUGGAAAAUUUAUUUAAAAAUUAUAACCAAUUGAUCAAAAAUUCUAAAAGCAUAUCCAUCUAUCAACAAAAACUUUUGUUAUCCUAAUUUCUAAAUCACAAUCUCAAAUCUACAAUAUUUAUCUACAAAAUGAUAACUUUCCAAAUAUAGCAGUUUUUAAAAUUUUAUUUUAAAAAUAUAAAAAAU
rnacentral:lncRNA from 1 species